rnacentral:SRP_RNA from 1 species
GCCGGGCAUGGUGGUGGGCGCCUGUAAUCCUGGCUACUCAGGAGGCUGAGGCAGGAGACUCGUUUGAACCCAGGAGGUGGAGGUCGCAGUGAGUUGAGAUGGUACCACUGCACUCCAGCCUGGGUGACAAAGUGAGACUCUGCCUCAA